GCCGCCUUAGCUCAGCUGGUAGAGCACCACCAUGGUAAGGUGGGGGUCGACGGUUCGAAUCCGUCAGGUGGCUUCA
rnacentral:tRNA from 1 species